AACGGACACACUGGAACUGAGACACGGUCCAGACUCCUACGGGAGGCAGCAGUAGGGAAUAUUGCUCAAUGGGGGAAACCCUGAAGCAGCAACGCCGCGUGGAGGAUGAAGGUUUUAGGAUUGUAAACUCCUUUUGUUAGAGAAGAUAAUGACGGUAUCUAACGAAUAAGCACCGGCUAACUCCGUGCCAGCAGCCGCGGUAAUACGGAGGGUGCAAGCGUUACUCGGAAUCACUGGGCGUAAAGAGCGCGCUAGGCGGGAUAGUCAGUCAGGUGUGAAAUCCUAUGGCUUAACCAUAGAACUGCAUUUGAAACUACUAUUCUAGAGUGUGGGAGAAGGUAGGUGGAAUUCCUGGUGUA
rnacentral:rRNA from 1 species